rfam:Triticum aestivum genome assembly, contig: Triticum_aestivum_CS42_TGACv1_scaffold_404566_5BL
UUACUACUCCCUCCGUCCGAAAAUACUUGUCAUCAGACUGAAUAAAAAUGAAUGUAUCUACAACUAAUAUGCAUCUAGAUACAUCCCCAUUAAUUCAUUUUGAUGGCAAGUAUUUCCGGACUUAGGGUGUACGUG